rnacentral:piRNA from 1 species
UGAAAGAACGCUAGAAUAGGUGUACUGUCC